UGGGGAAUAUUGCACAAUGGAGGGAACUCUGAUGCAGCGACGCCGCGUGAACGAAGAAGGCUUUCGAGUCGUAAAGUUCGUUUAUAUGGGAAGAUAAUGACGGUACCAUAAGAAAAAGCCCCGGCUAACUACGUGCCAGCAGCCGCGGUAAUACGUAGGGGGCUAGCGUUGUCCGGAAUCACUGGGCGUAAAGGGUUCGCAGGCGGAAAUGCAAGUCAGGUGUAAAAGGCAGUAGCUUAACUACUGUAAGCAUUUGAAACUGCAUAUCUUGAGAAGAGUAGAGGUAAGUGGAAUUUUUAGUGUAGCGGUGAAAUGCGUAGAUAUUAAAAAGAAUACCGGUGGCGAAGGCGACUUACUGGGCUCAUUCUGACGCUGAGGAACGAAAGCGUGGGUAGCAAACAGG
rnacentral:rRNA from 1 species